UACAGAGGGGGCAAGCGUUGUUCGGAAUUACUGGGCGUAAAGGGCGCGUAGGCGGCCUUCUAAGUCGAACGUGAAAUCCCCGGGCUCAACCCGGGAACUGCGUCCGAUACUGGAAGGCUUGAAUCCGGGAGAGGGAUGCGGAAUUCCAGGUGUAGCGGUGAAAUGCGUAGAUAUCUGGAGGAACACCGGUGGCGAAGGCGGCAUCCCGGACCGACACUGACACUGAGGAGCGAAAGCCAGGGGAGCAAACGGG
rnacentral:rRNA from 1 species